AGGACGCAGCCGACCACGGUCGGGUCAGCGACUGGGGUGAAGUCGUAACAAGGUAGCCGUAGGGGAACCUGCGGCUGGAUCACCUCCUUUCAAGGAACUGUUCUGAGUUAAUUGGUUUACUGAUUGAUUUGGAAUGUUCUGAAUAAAAAGUCCUUUGCUUAUGGAUCGGCAAAGGCGCUGUCUGUCAGUUUCUGAUGUGUUUGUGCAUCGGGGGCGCCGUCAACAUAUCCCUUUCUGCAACAGAUGUCUGAGUGAUUUGGGCUGAUACGUUUUUAUGUAUCGUCUAGGUUGUUCAGUCGGGUUUUGGGCUAGUAGCUCAGUUGGUUAGAGCACACGCUUGAUAAGCGUGGGGUCGGAGGUUCAAGUCCUCCCUGGCCCACCACCAUUUGAGACUGCCGGUUCCUAUGGGGGCGUAGCUCAGCUGGGAGAGCACCUGCUUUGCAAGCAGGGGGUCGUCGGUUCGAACCCGUCCGUCUCCACCAAGGAUCCAGAGUGGUUUUGUGGUGUUGAGAGUGUCUGUUGCAAGGGAGUUUGUGGAUCGGACUUCAUUUAUGCGGCGCUGUGAUAGCGGCACGUAUGGGUGUGUGUCUGGUGUUGAUCUUUGUCAGUGUGAAUCGGUUGGUGCGCGUCUGGGCGUAUCAGAAAUGUGGGUUGGUCUGACCCGUAUUGAGCAAAGAGAUUUGCUCAUGCGUUAAGCAUUUCUGGUGUAAGCGUUCAGAAGCGUUUUGAAGAAGUAGACGUACUCGGAUGCGUCAUGCUUUGGAGCUGUUUGUAUCUGCGUAAGUAGGUAUGGAUGGUUUCUGUGCAUGGGGUGAGUGAGUAUGAGAAGGGCAUUCGGUGGAUGCCUUGGCACUAGGAGGCGACGAAGGACGUAGCACGCUGCGAUAAGCUGUGGGGAGCCGCGAGCAGGCAUUGAUCCGCAGAUUUCCGAAUGGGGCAACCCACCCAGCGAUGGGUAUCGUGAUCUGAAUACAUAGGGUUACGAGGCGAACCCGGGGAACUGAAACAUCUCAGUACCUGGAGGAAAAGACAUCAAUUGAGAUUCUGCUAGUAGUGGCGAGCGAACGCGGAACAGGCCAGUCAUUUUUGAAGAAGAAGCAGAACAGUCUGGAAAGGCUGACCAUAGUGGGUGACAGUCCCGUAUGUGUAGUGUCUUUGGAAAUGCUUGAGUAGGGCGGGGCACGUGAAACCCUGUCUGAACAUGGGGGGACCACCCUCCAAGCCUAAAUACUCCCUAG
rnacentral:sRNA from 1 species